UUCCCCUAGUAACUGCGAGUGAAGCGGGAAAAGCUCAAAUUUAAAAUCUGGCAGUCUUUGGCUGUCCGAGUUGUAAUCUAGAGAAGCAUUAUCCGCGCUGGACCGUGUACAAGUCUCCUGGAAUGGAGCGUCAUAGAGGGUGAGAAUCCCGUCUUUGACACGGACUGCCAGGGCUUUGUGAUGUGCUCUCAAAGAGUCGAGUUGUUUGGGAAUGCAGCUCAAAAUGGGUGGUAAAUUCCAUCUAAAGCUAAAUAUUGGCGAGAGACCGAUAGCGAACAAGUACCGUGAGGGAAAGAUGAAAAGAACUUUGGAAAGAGAGUUAAACAGUACGUGAAAUUGCUGAAAGGGAAACGCUUGAAGUCAGUCACAUUGGCCAGAGAUCAACCUUGCAUUUCUUUGCUUGGCUUACUUUCUGGCCAAUGGGUCAGCAUCAAUUUUGGCUGGUGGAAAAAGUUCAAGGGAAUGUGGCAUCUUUUUUGGAUGUGUUAUAGCCUUUGUUCGCAUGCAUCAGUUGGGAUUGAGGAACUCAGCAUGCCGCAAGGCCGGGUUUUUAUUAACCACGUUACAUGCUUAGGAUGCUGGCGUAAUGGCUUUAAUCGACCCGUCUUGAAACACGGACCAAGGAGUCUAACAUGCCUGCGAGUGUUUGGGUGAAAAACCCGAGCGCGUAAUGAAAGUGAAAGUUGAGAUCCCUGUCGUGGGGAGCAUUGACGCCCAGAUCUGACCUUUUGUGACGAUUCUGCGGUAGAGCAUGUAUGUUGGGACCCGAAAGAUGGUGAACUAUGCCUGAAUAGGGUGAAGCCAGAGGAAACUCUGGUGGAGGCUCGUAGCGAUUCUGACGUGCAAAUCGAUCGUCAAAUUUGGGUAUAGGGGCGAAAGACU
rnacentral:rRNA from 1 species